rnacentral:rRNA from 1 species
CUUGGAAACGAGAUGGCACGGGGGGCGCCUCGUGCCGACGUGGGCCAAGAGACAGGAGAAGGCCUCAGGUUAGGAAAUUGCAUUUAUACGGAACGAAAAGGCUUUCGUAAAAAAGGGAGCUCAUGACGGUACCGUAAGAUAAGCACCGGCUAACUACGUGCCAGCAGCCGCGGUAAUACGUAGGGUGCAAGCGUUAAUCGGAUUACUGGGCGUAAAGCGUGCGCAGGCGGUGAUGUAAGACAGUUGUGAAAUCCCCGGGCUCAACCUGGGAACUGCAUCUGUGACUGCAUUGCUGGAGUGCGGCAGAGGGGGAUGGAAUUCCGCGUGGAGCAGUGAAAUGCGUAAAUAUGCGGAGGAACACCGAGGGCCAAAGCAAUUAUGUGGGCCUGCACUGACGCUCAAGCACGAAAGCUGGGGAGCAAACCGGAUAAAUACCCUGGAAGACCAAACCCUAAACGAUGUCAACUGAAAGCAGGGUCCUAACUGACUCCUAACGAAUCUAACCCUGAAGUUGACCGACGGGGGAGUACGGCCGCAAGGUUGAAACUCAGAUGAAUUGACGGGG